UACGGGGGGGGUAAGCGUUGUUCGGAAUUACUGGGCGUAAAGAGUGCGUAGGCGGUUUUCUAAGUUUGGUGUGAAAUCUCCCGGCUUAACUGGGAGGGUGCGCCGAAAACUGGAAGGCUUGAGUAUGGGAGAGGUAAGCGGAAUUCCUGGUGUAGCGGUGAAAUGCGUAGAUAUCGGGAGGAACACCGGUGGCGAAGGCGGUUCUCUGGGCCUGACCUGACGCUGAGGAGCGAAAGCGUGGGGAGCGAACAGG
rnacentral:rRNA from 1 species